UUUUUUAGGCGGAGCAGAAGCAAAGAGGAAAAAAUCAAGGGAGGCAGGCGGUGGAGGAGGGAGAGGGAUCCAGCUCUACUACGAAGACUCUUGGCCUCUACCAUUUACAGGGAACUUUCGCUCUCUUGGGCUUUGGAUGGUUACUGGCAGGCGCCGCCUUCCUCAUGGAGAGAGCUGUAUCUAGGAGAUGCAAGUUGGGAACUCACCGUCGGCAAACAGAUGACGUGAUCAAGUCUCAAACUACACUGAAUUUUAAGUAAAUACUUGUAAAUAAGUGAAAUAAAUGAUAUGUUGGAUUGUAUGUAUGGCGGAUAGGAGUGAGUGUGUUUAUGUGUGUGUAUGUAU